rnacentral:tRNA from 1 species
GCCGGUAUAGCUCAAUUGGCAGAGCAGCGGAUUUAUACCCCGUAGCGCCAGAUAAGCGGCAGGUUGCAGGUUCGACUCAUACUACCGGCA